rnacentral:lncRNA from 1 species
UGGACAUUGGAAUUGGAUUUUUACACUUGAUAUGACACCUCCUUGAGUCAGAUCAGAUUCGUGUUUGAUAGACUCUUGCCAAAAAAUUGCUCCAGGGUCUGUGCGGUAGCUAAAGCCUUUUUGUUGUUUCAGCCACCUGGGUAACUGGGACCACAGACACACACCACCACACCAGGCUAAUUUUUGUAUUUUUUGUAAAGACACGGUCUUGCUAUGUUGCCCAGGCUAGUCUUGAACUUCUGUGUGCACCCACCUCAGCCUCCUGCAUUUUUAGG